rnacentral:miRNA from 1 species
UAUUAGGUUGGUGCAAAAGUAAUUGCAGUUUUUGUCAUCAUUUUACCUGGCAAACACUGCAAUUACUUUUGCACCAACCUAA